CGCUGUCCUGCCAAGCUCCUCCCUCUCUGUCCCGCCCCUAACCUGACAAGCUCCUCCCUCUCUGUCCCGCCCCUAACCUGACCAGCUCCUACCUCGCUGUCCUGUACAUAACCAGAAUCGAGGCAAAGAUGAAUGAAAGUCCAGAGAGAUCCCUGAUGAAAACCUGCUCCAGAGCUCUCAGGACCUCAGACUGGGGCGAAGGUUCACCUUCCAACAGGACAACAACCCUAAGCACACAGCGAAGACAACGCAGGAGUGGCUUCAGGACAAGUCUCUGAAUGUCCUUGAGUGGCCCAGCCAGAGCCCGGACUUGAACCCGGUCAAACAUCUCUGAAGAGACCUGAAAAAAACUGUGCAGCAACGCUCCCCAUCCAACCUGACAGAACUUGAGAGGAUCUGCAGAGAAGAAUGGGAGAAACUCUCCAAAUACAGGUUGUGCCAAGCUUGUAGCGUCAUACCCAAGAAGACUCGAGGCUCUAAUCGCUGCCAAAAGUGCUUCAACAAAGUACUGAGUAAAGGGUGUGAAUACUUUCUGAAUUAACUGUAUCUACACGUAGCCACAUUUCCCACUCCAAAUAGCCUGAAGACACAAGGCUCUUCUCACAGCCCUGUAUUUCCCUAACUGGGACCUUUGCGAACCGUAAGUCAGGAUUUUUGACCUGGUUACAUGUACAUUGAACAACACAACAGCUUUUCGGGCAUGUUUUGUUAUUUCUGUAUAAUAAUAAUAAUUUAAAAAAUCUAAGACGUCGUUGGCUCUUUUACAAUGGGGGACAAUAGGAAAGAAUGUUUGUGUGGUCAAAGGAAAUUCGUUAUUAUAUGAAUGAUAACUCAGAGCAUAGGAACUUGAAGCCCCCUUGAAGUUUCCGAAGGAAAUAUUUUAAAAGCUCUUUAGUCUCAACAUCUGCCUGAUGUUUUUGCUUCGUGCGUAAUGUGUGUUCAAUCCAUAGACACUUUUAACUCAAAUGUAAUGACAUUUUAUUGGUCAUGUGGACUAUUUCAACAUGGGUAUGCCUUACUGGGAAAUGCUCAUGGGCCCUUUCCUAACCAGGCAGAGUUAAAAGGUAAGAACAAUUAGCUAGAUAAAAAAGGAAAUAAAACAAUAAAAUAACAAUAACAACGAGGUCAUAUACAGGAAGUACCUGUACCCAGUCAAUGUCCAGGGGUACGAGGUAGUUGAGGUAAUAACGAGGUCAUAUACAGGAAGUACCUGUACCCAGUCAAUGUCCAGGGGUACGAGGUAGUUGAGGUGAUAACGAGGCCAUAUACAGGAAGUACAUGUACCCAGUCAAUGUCCAGGGGUACGAGGUAGUUGAGGUAACAACGAGGUCAUAUACAGGAAGUACCUGUACCCAGUCAAUGUCCAGGGGUACGAGGUAUUUGAGGUAAUAACGAGGUCAUAUACAGGAAGUACCUGUACCCAGUCAAUGUCCAGGGGUACGAGGUAGUUGAGGUGAUAACGAGGUCAUAUACAGGAAGUACCUGUACCCAGUCAAUGUCCAGGGGUACGAGGUAGUUGAGGUAACAACGAGGUCAUAUUCAGGAAGUACCUGUACCCAGUCAAUGUCCAGGGGUACGAGGUAGUUGAGGUAAUAACGAGGUCAUAUACAGGAAGUACCUGUACCCAGUCAAUGUCCAGGGGUACGAGGUAGUUGAGGUAACAACGAGGUCAUAUCCAGGAAGUACCUGUACCCAGUCAAUGUCCAGGGGUACGAGGUAGUUGAGGUAACAACGA
rnacentral:lncRNA from 1 species